ACACUUAGCUCAAGGAACCCGCCGGGCAAGGUCGGACUUAGACCAAGCACGUGCGGUUCAGCGGUUAGUUCCGGGUGCACUGUCACACGAUCCUAUUUGGGAUCAGGAGGGAGGUCGGCAUCGGAGGAGGAGGGGGCAGAGGCAGCGGCAGCGUAAGACGACCGAGGGCCAAACGAGGGGCGGGACUCCGACGACGCCGAGGGACGGAGCGCGCGGCAGUAGUCCUUUUACAGCAGUUUAUGACUUCCUGGGUUCUCAGUACGUGCAUCUCUGGAAAACGAGUUCUAGGUUAGUCUACGAGUUUGAACGACCCUCCUCUCGUUCCAAAAAGUCCGACUUGGACCGUUACCUGGAGGACCGGGACCACUUUUUAAGAAACCGUUAAAAGGCAUGGGAAUGUACUUACCUAACGAUGUAGACCCAGUGCGGAAGAGUGAUAGGUUCGAACUCAAGCCACGACGUAUGGUGUCUGAGGCACCGAGCUUACAGGAAAACGGCAAACGAAAAGUAACAUGACCCUACGGGUAGUUCCGGAGUCGACUAUUCGAACGAUCCCUCUAAGUUGUCAUACCUUUAGGAGGUCACAAGGGACGUCGUCUCCUACUAAGUUCACGAGUUCACCGUCUACUAUCGGUCCGACUGGUCCGACGAGAACGGGGUCCCGUUAAAUUCUCAUUCUUUAGAUUCCGACGACGUUUCUGGCCGUACGUCUUCAAGGUCACCCUCUAGUACUUCCCGAAACUUGACUGUCUACUUUUUUAGCGGUUUAAAGUCCUAGGCAGAGUGACCAACUGGGUGAAGGGAGGCGACCGUUUCCUUCUAGAAUUCCUAAAACCGGACCCAACACUAACCUCCGCGAGUAAGUAUUGGUGACUAUACUUAGGAAAGAUACUACGAAAACAAGCGACCGUCUACUCCUUCGACUUCUUUUACCCGUUUCAACAGUUCCUAUACUCCAUGUGCUAGAUGAGUGGUGACCUACCGGUUGGAACACGACUAGUACUAUCCCGUAGUCCACUUCCACACGUCGGUGUUCUUAUGCACAACUAAUUUUACUACCACUAGGGUGGAAAAGGGGGGUUCAACUUCCAGAACCUUCCUUUCUUACAAAUAGACCGUCGACGAUGUAAUUCUGGACUCUGUUACAUACCCGUUUGUUUGACAACCCAUAACGGACUACCCUAAAUACCCCGAAAACUCUAGUUACUUUGACUACAGAAGUAACACUGUCGUUCCAGUCGGGAAUUAGAACGUAUAGUCGUAGAUAGGUCCCAGGGUCUUUUCGGGUGGACGAAUCGACUCGAAUGACCGUUACUAAACUAACCCAACGGUAAUUUCAGAGGAGAAAGUAAGUUACUUUAGUAUAUACGUGAAGGGUACGAGUGCUAGAACUGUCUAUUUCCAUGACCGUGGCACUGAUCACACGGUUCACUAAGGGGUCUACUAAUGUACCGUGACGUUCUAAAUUAGUGUUUCGGACGAAACUCUGUCUUCAUACCCCAGGUUCUACUCACCCAAGAAGGUAAAUUAUAGUAUGGUUAUUAGUUGUAUGGACUCAAACCCCUAUUCAGUCGACUCUUCCACACGGAACUAGAAUUCUAAUUCUCGGUCUUACUGUUCCUCUUCGAACGACUUCGUUUUUCCUACUGUAUGGAAUUUCCUAAAUGACUACCUCACUACUAACGUCCCCUCAAACUACCAUCUUUCCAAGUUCUUCGCUUCGGUGACUAUUUCUUAUUCGAAGAACCUCUUCCGAGACGACACAACAUAUCACUCGGACUCUUCUUUCAGUACAGUUCUAGGCCGCUACUCACACAGCAACGAGAAUGUCUAGUCACCAUGUAUUGAAUGCCGCUUUGACUUACCUUCGUCUUCCGUCAGUUUACAAACCUUUUAUACUUAUGUAAGAGUCGACUUUGGGCAUUGCCUAAGCUUGUGUGCAACCCGACCGACUUGGUCACCCGUACAAGAGCGAGAAAACCGGAUCCAUGAGCGUAAGGUACCCUACUCGUCAAGGACCAUCUUAGAGAAAGUCUAAGUUGGGACAUGUACCGAAUAAUGUGGUAACGUGUAGUAAAUGUUUUACCAUUGUACAUACCUCUUCUUUAUAGAAGAUAGUUCGGACUUCUUAACUGUCUACUUCAUACCCUUAUACACAAGACACUACCAGGUCGUGGGUUAUCGUCGUAGAGAGGACGGGAGAACUCGUUUUACUUCGUUCUCAAGUUCAUAACCAUGGGGAAACUAUAAGCCCAUAGUCCCUUCCUGGAAUAGGUCUUGGUAGACUGUAAGUCGUAGAUGUUAGUAUGUCGUGAAGAAGGUCUCGUAGUAACCGGAGCACCAAAAGCAACGUUACCCGUAGAAUACGAAUUGAGACUCUUCUACAGGUUCAGGUGUCCCUUGAAGGAUUGAGAAUUCCUCCGAUAAGAUUCUAUAAGGAGCCUACGGUGAUCCAAACGGGAACGACUACGACCGCUACCAUACCUGCUACGUUUGAAACAAUGACUUUGACGUUUACGACGAUAAAACUCCGAAUGUUUCCUUUAGCGUACCUACCUUCUUCAAUAUCGACGACUUAGAAGAAACUCUCCGCCAGGAGGGAGAUGAAUACGACUGGUACACAAACGAUUACUCUAGUUGUAACGACAUUUUCUUUGACUCUUCUCGAUGUUACGGAAGUACAAGUCUCUACGGGACUUCAGACCAAAGAUACUGGAUGUUGACCGAUCUCUACUCAUGUCUGAGAGAACACCUCGCCGCCCGUACUUGGCACUCAACAACCCCGCCAAAUACCUUUAGGUCUGGUUCGAAUAGUGGGGCUAGACAGGGGUGAUACGACUCGUACACACCGUUUUCUAAGACUUCUUCCUUCCAAAACGUUAUUUUCGACCGACCGGUCAACGUCCGUGGGGCCUAGGAUGAGAUUCUUCACGCUUGUUUAUGAACGUCCUGAGGUAACAAAAUUACUCUUUCAACGAAGUCUUCGUCCUCAGACCAAGGUUCUUUGGGUUCUUCCCUCGACGUGGAUGAGGUAGUCGUCUUUUGUUCGAGUGUCAACCAGACUAUAUACAGUUACUCGUGAUACUACCUACCUUUCUCGUUACAAACUCCCACGAAGUUAGUUUAAAACUAUCGGUUCGUGCGAGGAAACGGGGACUGCUCCUCUAAUUGCUUCGUAACUCCUUGACGAAGUAGCUGGCACUUUGUUCAAAGUUUGUUCAUGUCUUCGAGACGUACGGAAAGUAGUCCAAGUUCUUUCUACUUCGUUCCUUACAACCAGGGGUCCGAGAUUUAAACUUCGAAGGAAAACCACUUUAUUUACACGAACUCCUCUUGGACCUCGACUAGUCUUCCGUCAACCCAGAACUCGUACAACUCCAGGACAGCCGUAAACUACCUCGACGAGCACGGUUUCGACCUUUCGUACGAAGAGACGACCUGUUCUUAGGCGGAAGGGGACCACUCGGCCAACGUUAUAAGUACUCGUUCGUCCUCAAACUUCGCGUCUUAAUUCGGGUCUAAUUAGAAGAGUGUCUUGAAACAACUCCACAAAACGUUCCGCACCAUAGCUGACCAACAACGAGGACAACUAAGAUCGUACUCCGCGGAUAACCCUUUUACCUUUCCUCGGAAAAGAGGUCGAACUGACGUCUACUAACUCUUCCUUAAACCAAAGGUUCGAAAACGGUCAAAACAAAGAAAAAUCUACACCUACGUCUCUACCGUUCACGUCUUAUGUUCCUCAUAAGAACGAAAAUAUAUGUCGUUACAGAUCAAACAAAUGAACGGUUUCAACACUGUAUAAGGACCGUGAACUAGUGUAUGAGGUACUAUAUAACAAAGACGACUUUACAAGUCACUGGUAUCAUUACGACAAUACGACAGUCAAAAAAAUCUACACAGUAACAGCUACAC
rnacentral:rRNA from 1 species